AUUGAACGCUGGCGGCAGGCUUAACACAUGCAAGUCGAGCGGGGUGAUGGUGCUUGCACUAUCACUUAGCGGCGGACGGGUGAGUAAUGCUUAGGAAUCUGCCUAUUAGUGGGGGACAACAUCUCGAAAGGGAUGCUAAUACCGCAUACGUCCUACGGGAGAAAGCAGGGGAUCACUUGUGACCUUGCGCUAAUAGAUGAGCCUAAGUCGGAUUAGCUAGUUGGUGGGGUAAAGGCCUACCAAGGCGACGAUCUGUAGCGGGUCUGAGAGGAUGAUCCGCCACACGGGGACUGAGACACGGCCCAGACUCCUACUGGAGGCAGCAGUGGGGAAUAUUGGACAAUGGGGGGAACCCUGAUCCAGCCAUGCCGCGUGUGUGAAGAAGGCCUUAUGGUUGUAAAGCACUUUAAGCGAGGAGGAGGCUCUUUUGGUUAACACCCAAGAUGAGUGGACGUUACUCGCAGAGUAAGCACCGGCUAACUCUGUGCCAGCCGCCGCAGUAA
rnacentral:rRNA from 1 species